GAUGAACGCUGGCGGCGUGCCUAAUACAUGCAAGUCGAGCGAACGGACGAGAAGCUUGCUUUUCUGAUGUUAGCGGCGGACGGGUGAGUAACACGUGGAUAACCUACCUAUAAGACUGGGAUAACUUCGGGAAACCGGAGCUAAUACCGGAUAAUAUUUUGAACCGCAUGGUUCAAAAGUGAAAGACGGUCUUGCUGUCACUUAUAGAUGGAUCCGCGCUGCAUUAGCUAGUUGGUAAGGUAACGGCUUACCAAGGCAACGAUGCAUAGCCGACCUGAGAGGGUGAUCGGCCACACUUGAACUGAGACACGGUCCAGACUCCUACGGGAGGCAGCAGUAGGGAAUCUUCCGCAAUGGGCGAAAGCCUGACGGAGCAACGCCGCGUGAGUGAUGAAGGUCUUCGGAUCGUAAAACUCUGUUAUUAGGGAAGAACAUAUGUGUAAGUAACUGUGCACAUCUUGACGGUACCUAAUCAGAAAGCCACGGCUAACUACGUG
rnacentral:rRNA from 1 species